GCCAUGUGAUCUUAAAACAGUUCUGAAAAGAUUUGAAGAACAUUGACCAAUAGCAUGUUAGAGUUCUGAUGGCA
rfam:Pelodiscus sinensis unplaced genomic scaffold scaffold1046, whole genome shotgun sequence.